AAGACUAUAGACCUGCGGAGUACCUGCGGAGGGAUCAUUAUCUAUAACCGGGUGUGGCUGCGGCCUCCGGGGGCGUGGGCGUCGAGAUGAUGCCCUCUCUUCCGGGUGGUAGAGGUAAAACUCUCACGCGCCACAUGUCUGAAUCCUUUUUUUACGAGCACCUUUCGUUCUCCUUCGGUGGGGUGACCUGCCGUUGGAACCCAUCAAAACUCUUUUUGCAUCUAGCAUUACCUGUUCUGA
rnacentral:misc_RNA from 1 species